CGCGGGGUGGAGCAGCUUGGUAGCUCGUCGGGCUCAUAACCCGAAGGUCAUAGGUUCAAAUCCUGUCCCCGCAACCA
rnacentral:tRNA from 2 species